rnacentral:lncRNA from 1 species
UGUAAGAGAGGAAUAUGACUGCUCAGAGCUCUGGUAUGAAACUGCAGAAAAACCUGAGAGUCUCUGGAUAAAGUUGAGAAGUGUGAGCAACAAGGGUGAUGUCGUGGUCGGAGUCUGCUAUCCCACCAGACCAGGGGGAUGAGGUGGAUGAGGCUUUCUUUUGGCAACUAGCAGAAGUUGCUAGAUCGCAGGCCCUGGUUCUCAUGGGAGACUUUAAUCACCCUGAUAUCUGCUGGGAGAGCAACACAGCGGUGCACAGACAAUCCAGGAAGUUUUUGGAAAGUGUAGGGGACAAUUUCCUGGUGCAAGUGCUGGAGGAACCAACUAGGGGCAGAGCUUUUCUUGACCUGCUGCUCACAAACAGGGAAGAAUUAGUAGGGGAAGCAAAAGUGGAUGGGAAUUUGGGCAGCAGUGACCAUGAGAUGGUCGAGUUCAGGAUCCUGACACAAGGAAGAAAGGAGAGCAGCAGAAUACGGACCCUGGACUUCAGAAAAGCAGACUUUGACUCCCUCAGGGAACAGAUGGGCAGGAUCCCCUGGGAGAAUAACAUGAAGGGCAAAGGGGUCCAGGAGAGCUGGCUGUAUUUUAAAGAAUCCUUAUUACGGUUGCAGGAGCAAACCAUCCCGAUGUGUAGAAAGAAUAGUAAAUAUGGCAGGCGGCCAGCUUGGCUAAACAGUGAAAUCCUUGCUGAUCUUAAAUGCAAAAAAGAAGCUUACAAGAAGUGGAAGAUUGGACAAAUGACCAGGGAGGAGUAUAAAAAUAUUGCUCAGGCAUGCAGGAGUGAAAUCAGGAAGGCCAAAUCACAGUUGGAGUUGCAGCUAGCAAGAGAUGUUAAGAGUAACAAGAAGGGUUUCUUCAGGUAUGUUAGAAACAAGAAGAAAGUCAAGGAAAGUGUGGGCCCCUUACUGAAUGAGGGAGGCAACCUAGUGACCGAAGAUGUGGAAAAAGCUAAUGUACUCAAUCAUUUUUUUGCCUCUGUCUUCACGAACAACGGCAGCUCCCAGACUGCUGCACUGGGCAGCACAGUAUGGGGAGAAGGUGACCAGCCCUCUGUGGAGAAAAGUGCUUCGGGACUAUUUAGAAAAACUGGACGUGCACAAGUCCAUGGGGCCAGAUGUGCUGCAUCCGAG